GGUCAAGAUCUCAAUAACAAGGCUGUUCCCGAAGUAAGUUUCCGGCGGCGGAGGUUGCAGUCUCGACCGGGCGGCAAUCGUUAACAUGUAUCUCAGUUCUUGGGCCGAGUUGAGUUGCUGGCAGCAGGCCACGGAUCGCCAUUGGUGAGCCAGCAGAGCCUGGAGAGAGGAAAUGGUGGUUGAUUCCAUCUCAGCGUUGGCUUUGGCUUUGAGCUCGGCGAUUUUCUCUUUGGGGAAGUGGAAAACCCGCUCUUCCAUCGGCGGUAGAAUGAACUUGUCUUGAAUUUGAUCGGAGCAGAAAGGGAUGGAAAUGGGAGGUUUGGUAUCGCCGGGAAACCACCGGUCGAGGACUGGAGGCCGCGAUAUGGAGAGAGAACCACGCGAUAUUUCCGACCAAGAAUUGAAGAAAUUCCAGAACGACGAGCCGUCGCCGAUUGAGUGAUUCAUCGUGCAUCCUCUCAGAGGUGAUAUAAGAGCGAGCGAGCGAUCUUACCGAUGAAGAAGCCGUCGAGCAGCUCGGUUACUUGAACUGCCAUGAGGGGAAUGGAAACUCCGUGGAAAUUAUAGACUCCAUUGAGAGGGAAGAAAGAGGGGACA